CCGCCUGCCGCGUGAGGGAAGAAGGCCUUCGGGUUGUAAAGCUCUUUUUGCAGGGAAGAAAA
rnacentral:rRNA from 1 species